AAAGAGGAGCUUGCUCCUCUGGAUCAGUGGCGAACGGGUGAGUAACACGUGAGUAACCUGCCCUUGACUCUGGGAUAACCUCGGGAAACCGAAGCUAAUACCGGAUACGACCCUCGGAGGCAUCUCCAGGGGGUGGAAAGAAUUUCGGUCAAGGAUGGACUCGCGGCCUAUCAGGUAGUUGGUGAGGUAACGGCUCACCAAGCCGACGACGGGUAGCCGGCCUGAGAGGGUGACCGGCCACAUUGGGACUGAGACACGGCCCAGACUCCUACGGGAGGCAGCAGUGGGGAAUAUUGCACAAUGGGCGCAAGCCUGAUGCAGCAACGCCGCGUGAGGGACGACGGCCUUCGGG
rnacentral:rRNA from 1 species